rnacentral:rRNA from 1 species
GACGAACCGAGCGAACGUUGUUCGGAAUCACUGGGCUUAAAGGGCGCGUAGGCGGGUGCUCAAGUCUGUGGUGAAAUCCUCCGGCUCAACCGGAGAACUGCCAUGGAUACUGGGUGUCUCGAGGGUGGUAGGGGUAUGCGGAACUAUCGGUGGAGCGGUGAAAUGCGUAGAUAUCUGGAGGAACACCGGUGGCGAAGGCGGCAUCCUGGACCGGCAUUGACGCUGAGUGAGCGAAAGCCAGGGGAGCAAACGGG